CUGACUUUCCCCAAGGGCCUCCUGCACCUGCCUCCGACGGUCACAGAUCUGGUUCCCCUCCCUUGUGGUGACGGGCACAACCCCGUGCUCCUAGUGUGCCGGCAGGUCAACAGAGCCUGUUUCUGCGUGAGAGCAUGAUUUUGCAGGUCUUGGGUCACUGGCAUUUUGGCUUCUUCUGUCCAGGAUUCAUCACAACACCUUGAAGCAGGGGGUAGGCCAAACCCGGCCCGCCACAGGCUUUCCUACAGCCCAUGAGCCAACUGGACAGUAUGGGAAGCCAAACCCUUGACCUUCCAUGCC